GACGAACGCUGGCGGCGUGCCUAAUACAUGCAAGUCGAGCGGAGUCUUACACUUUCUUCGGAAAGUGUCUGGCUUAGCGGCGGACGGGUGAGUAACACGUGGGUAACCUGCCUAUAAGACUGGGAUAACAUUCGGAAACGAAUGCUAAUACCGAAUAUGCAUUUUUGAUCGCAUGAUCGAAAUGGGAAAGACGGAGCAAUCUGUCACUUAUAGAUGGACCCGCGGCGCAUUAGCUAGUUGGUGAGGUAACGGCUCACCAAGGCGACGAUGCGUAGCCGACCUGAGAGGGUGAUCGGCCACACUGGGACUGAGACACGGCCCAGACUCCUACGGGAGGCAG
rnacentral:rRNA from 1 species